ACCAUCCUAAGGUAGCGAAAUUCCUUGUCGGGUAAGUUCCGACCUGCACGAAUGGAGUAACGACUUCCCUACUGUCUCAACCAUGAACUCGGUGAAAUUGCAGUACGAGUAAAGAUGCUCGUUUCGCGCAGCAGGACGGAAAGACCCCGUGACCUUUACUAUAGUUUGGUAUUGGUGUUUGGGUUGGCUUGUGUAGGAUAGGUGGGAGACUGUGAAGCUGUCACGCUAGUGGUGGUGGAGUCGUUGUUGAAAUACCACUCUGGUCAAUCUGGAUGUCUAACUUCGGGCCAUGAUCUGGUUCAGGGACAGUGCCUGAUGGGUAGUUUAACUGGGGCGGUUGCCUCCUAAAGUGUAACGGAGGCGCCCAAAGGUUCCCUCAGCCUGGUUGGCAAUCAGGUGUUGAGUGUAAGUGCACAAGGGAGCUUGACUGUGAGAGUGGCGACUCGAGCAGGGACGAAAGUCGGGACUAGUGAUCCGGCAGUGGCUUGUGGAAGCGCUGUCGCUCAACGGAUAAAAGGUACCUCGGGGAUAACAGGCUGAUCUUGCCCAAGAGUCCAUAUCGACGGCAUGGUUUGGCACCUCGAUGUCGGCUCGUCGCAUCCUGGGGCUGGAGUCGGUCCCAAGGGUUGGGCUGUUCGCCCAUUAAAGCGGUACGCGAGCUGGGUUCAGAACGUCGUGAGACAGUUCGGUCCCUAUCCGCUGCGCGCGUUGGAGAAUUGAGAAAGGCUGUCCUUAGUACGAGAGGACCGGGACGGACGAACCUCUGGUAUGUCAGUUGUACCGCCAGGUGCAUGGCUGAUUGGCUACGUUCGGGAGGGAUAACCGCUGAAGGCAUCUAAGCGGGAAGCCUGUUUCGAGAUGAGUUCUCCUGGCACUCUUUGUGGUGUGUGAGGCUCCUUAGAGAUGAUGAGGUUGAUAGGCCGGGUAUGGAAGCGUUGUAAGGCGUGGAGUUGACUGGUACUAAUAGGCCGAAGACUUAUUCAC
rnacentral:rRNA from 1 species